rnacentral:lncRNA from 1 species
AGUAAGUGAAUCUGUCCAUUGAAUUAUUAUUCCAAAGAAAAAUUUGUAUUAAUUAUUAUAUGUUUCUUGUUUUUGCAGUUGAAAACAAUGAUCUCCAUACUCUAGGCCAAUGAUUAUGUCAGAGGGUAAGCCGCAAAAUGACAAUUUCUGUAUAAUAAAAAAGAACUAAAGUUUUCGUUUCUUUUGCAGGCCUUUCGAAGUCGAGAGCUCCAUUUAUGAAACGAUCUUAUUAAUCUGACAUCAUAAUAAGCGAUUAAUCAAGUGGCAUUAACAAAGCCCCUGACCAAUGGCCACAACGCAGCAGACACCUGAGGCUGAGGCUGAGGCUGAGACUGAGACUGAGGCUAAGGCACCCCAGCCAGCACGAUCGGCAGCUGCUCCAAUCCACCCGCACUGUAACCCGCAUUGGACAUACUAUACACAUCUCUCUCGAGCGAGCGAGUCAGGAGCUCAAACAAAUUGAAUUCGCAUUGUUUGCAUAAUUGCUGGCCAUUUGUAAACCGAGUGAAUUCGAGUGACUGUGCUCACGUUUAUGUCGCAGAAUCGAAAUGAAUAAUUUUAGCAGAAUUCACAGAGAGCGUAUGUACAUACAUUCCCUCUGCUAAUGCCAUUUUUGAGGUGGAUUCAAAUGAAGAUCUUGCAUAAAGUGUACACUAAACCGAAACCCCAUCCCAUCUCAUCCCAUCCCUAGUUGUCAUAAAUAGUCUCGUGGAUCUUGAGCAGCUGCCAAUUUGUACUCACGGAUGCGAAUGUAAAUAUUGCAAUUCCAUGGCUAUUCCCACAAGAUUUUCUGCCAAGUUUUCUGAGUUUCCUAUUUGGUUUUCGGUCUGCUGAAGUUAAUUAAAAAUGGUUCCUUGUUUGCCCCCAAAUAGAAUCCUCACGCCCAACCCAAGAUUUCUACCUAGAGGUGGAAUAUAUCUGUAUGCUAAUCUAUAUGUGCAGUAUCUAGAUAUGCAAAUUGUAUAUUCGCUGGGGUGUGAUAAUGAGUUGUAUGGGUUAUUACCAAGAUGCCUAAUUCUGUGGGAGACAACUUUUGCAAUUUCAUGUAAAUUAUCCAUCAAUUUUUGUAUUAAGCGAUAAAUAUUGUAUUAUUAUGAGAGAAAGUCAUGCGAGAAAUGUUUUUACGUAGAUUAUUAUGUAUAGAAUUAUUUGUU